AGUGAACGCUGGCGGCAGGCCUAACACAUGCAAGUCGAACGGCAGCACAAGAGAGCUUGCUCUCUGGGUGGCGAGUGGCGGACGGGUGAGGAAUGCAUCGGAAUCUGCCCAUUUGUGGGGGAUAACCUCGGGAAACCGGGACUAAUACCGCAUACGACCUACGGGUGAAAGCAGGGGAUCUUCGGACCUUGCGCAGAUGGAUGAGCCGAUGCCGGAUUAGCUAGUUGGAGGGGUAAAGGCCCACCAAGGCGACGAUCCGUAGCUGGUCUGAGAGGAUGAUCAGCCACACUGGGACUGAGACACGGCCCAGACUCCUACGGGAGGCAGCAGUGGGGAAUAUUGGACGAUGGGCGCAAGCCUGAUCCAGCCAUGCCGCGUGUGUGAAGAAGGCCUUCGGGUUGUAAAGCACUUUUGUUGGGAAAGAAAAGCAGCCGGUUAAUACCCGGUUGUCAUGACGGUACCCAAAGAAUAAGCACCGGCUAACUUCGUG
rnacentral:rRNA from 1 species